AACGAACGCUAUCGGUAUGCUUAACACAUGCAAGUCGGACGGACUAUUUAGGGCUUGCUCCACUUAGUUAUUUGCAGACGGGUGAGUAACCCUUGGGUUUCUUCCCAUCACUACGGAAUAACUUUUAGAACUAAUAGCUUAUACCGUAUAUUCUCUUCAUACGAAAGAUUUAUCGCUGAUGGUUUUGCCCGAUUCAGAUUAGUUAGUUGUUUUGGUAACUGCUAACCAAGCCGACGAUCUUUAGCUGGUCUGAGAGGAUGAUCAGCCACACUGGGACUGAGACACGGACCAGAAUCCUACGGGAGGCAGCAGUGGGGAAUAUUGGACAAUGGGCGAAAGCCUGAUCAAGCAAUGACGGGUGAGUGAUAAAGGCCCUAGGGUUGUAAAGCUCUUUUAGCAAGGAAGAUAAUGACGGUACUGGGAGAAAAAGCACCGGCUAACUCCGUG
rnacentral:rRNA from 1 species